rnacentral:rRNA from 1 species
GGANACGCUGCGGCAGGCUUAAUACAUGCAAGUCGAACGGUAACAGUCCUGGCAACAGGAGCUGACGAGCGGCGCACGGGUGCGUAACACGUAUGCAACUUACCCUUUACUGGGGCAUAACCCUGAGAAAUCGGGGCUAAUACCCCAUGGUAUUACAGAUGGGCAUCCAUUAUGUAAUUAAAGAUUUAUCGGUAAAGGAUGGGCAUGCGCCCCAUUAGUUAGUUGGUAGGGUAACGGCUUACCAAGGCUAUGAUGGGCAGGGGAUCUGAGAGGAUUAUCCCCCACACUGGUACUGAGACACGGACCAGACUCCUACGGGAGGCAGCAGUAAGGAAUAUUGGGCAAUGGAGGGAACUCUGACCCAGCCAUGCCGCGUGCAGGAAGACGGCCUUAUGGGUUGUAAACUGCUUUUCUGUGGGACUAAUUGCCUUCACGUGAUGAGGGUUUGCAGGUACCGCAGGAAUAAGCAUCGGCUAACUCCGUGCCAGCAGCCGCGGUAAUACGGAGGAUGCGAGCGUUAUCCGGAAUUAUUGGGUUUAAAGGGUGCGUAGGCUGACAAGUAAGUCAGUGGUGAAAUAUCCCGGCUCAACCGGGAGGCUGCCAUUGAUACUGUUUGUCUGGAGUGUAUUGGAAGUGAGCGGAACGAGGGGUGUAGCGGUGAAAUGCAUAGAUAUUCCUCAGAACGCCGAUAGCGUAGGCAGCUCACUACGAUACAACUGACGCUGANGCACGAAAGCGUGGGGAUCAAACAGGAUUAGAUACCCUGGUAGUCCACGCUGUAAACGAUGAUCACUAGCUGNUUGCGAUAUACAGUAAGUGGCU